rnacentral:rRNA from 1 species
CAGCCGCCACGGGAAUACAGAGGGUGCAAGCGUUAAUCGGAAUUACUGGGCGUAAAGCGCGCGUAGGUGGUUCGCCAAGUUGGAUGUGAAAUCCCCGGGCUCAACCUGGGAACUGCAUCCAAAACUGGCGAGCUAGAGUAUGGUAGAGGGUGGUGGAAUUUCCUGUGUAGCGGUGAAAUGCGUAGAUAUAGGAAGGAACAUCAGUGGCGAAGGCGACCACCUGGACUGAUACUGACACUGAGGUGCGAAAGCGUGGGGAGCAAACAGGAUUAGAUACCCGGGUAGUCCCUGUCUCUUAUAC